rnacentral:rRNA from 1 species
CCUACGGGGGGCAGCAGUGGGGAAUAUUGGGCAAUGGAGGCAACUCUGACCCAGCAACGCCGCGUGAGUGAUGAAGGUCUUCGGAUUGUAAAACUCUUUAAGUGGGGACGAAGAAAGUGACUGUACCCACAGAAUAAGCCUCGGCUAACUACGUGCCAGCAGCCGCGGUAAUACGGAGGAGGCAAGCGUUAUCCGGAAUGACUGGGCGUAAAGGGUGCGUAGGUGGUUUGACAAGUUAGUAGCGUAAUUCCGGGGCUCAACUUCGGAACUACUACUAAAACUGUUGGACUUGAGUGCAGGGGCGGUGAAUGGAAUGCCUAGUGUAGCGGUGGAAUGCGUAGAUAUUAGGAGGAACACCAGCGGCGAAAGCGAUUCACUAGACUGUAACUGACACUGAGGCACGAAAGCGUGGGGAGCAAACAGGAUUAGAUACCCGUGUAGUC